AACGCACAUUGCACCCUCUGGUAUUCCGGGGGGUAUGCCUGUUCGAGCGUCAUUACAACCCUCAAGCUCUGCUUGGUAUUGGGUGUCACCGUCCCGGUGCGCCUCAAAGUCAGUGGCGGUGCCAGACGGGCUCCGAGCGCAGUAAUUCUUCUCGCUCCGGGGCACGGCUGAGCGCCCGCCAGCAACCCACACUUAUCAAAGGUUGACCUCGGAUCAGGUAGGGAUACCCGCUGAACUUAA
rnacentral:misc_RNA from 2 species